rnacentral:rRNA from 1 species
UACGUAGGGUGCGAGCGUUGUCCGGAAUUACUGGGCGUAAAGAGCUCGUAGGUGGUUUGUCGCGUUGUCCGUGAAAACUCACAACUCAAUUGUGGGCGUGCGGGCGAUACGGGCAGACUGGAGUACUGCAGGGGAGACUGGAAUUCCUGGUGUAGCGGUGGAAUGCGAAGAUAUCAGGAGGAACACCGGUGGCGAAGGCGGGUCUCUGGGCAGUAACUGACGCUGAGGAGCGAAAGCGUGGGGAGCGAACAGG